rnacentral:tRNA from 1 species
AGCUGAAUGGCAAAGCAUGUCUCUGGUCAAGCCAAGGCUCCAGGUUCAAUUCCUGG